rnacentral:misc_RNA from 1 species
CCGCGCAUGCAGCGGGAUGUCGCGCUUUGCUGAGCACCUGCUGGACGUGGCCCGGGGGCACGGCGGUGGCGCCAUCCACGGCCUCAAGGCCAUCUCCCGCUCUCUCGUCGAGGAUGACGAGGACAUCUUAAUGCUUCUCGUCCUCCUCGGCAUUCCGGCCCUCCUGGUUAUGUGGGUCAUCUCCCGCUGUAUCGAUCGUGCUCACAGCCGCGUCCGCUACGCCUCGGAGUAUCGUGCUGUGGACAGCAACGACUACGCCACAUCAAGCAGCAGCUCAUCCGAUGGCAGUCGCAGCAGCGAUGACGAUGUGGGUGGCAAUGCGAUACACCAGGGUAACCGCCGUUCAUGGUGCCGACCGACCAUGGAUGAGGUAGCGCGGGCGGCGCAGCAGCUGACGGAGCAAGAGGCAACGCGCCGCUGUCGUAGCCGACGUUUAGCGGCGCGGUACGGACACGGUGAAGAUGCGUCAGCGCAGGCCGCCCCGGAUGGAGAAACGGCGGGCAGUGACUAAAAAUGCAUGCAGAAAGCGCAGUCUGUGUGUGUGUGUGUGUGUGUGUGUGUGUGCAUGUGGCAUCUGCAGUGAAGGCUCGGCAGACCCCGUCGGCGCACUUGCAUCGGUGUGUUCUAGUAUGCGUAUUGCUUUGUGUCCGUACUCUCCUCACCCACCCCAACUAUCGCCCGCCAAGUCCACCUCGCGCUCACCCCCCUCCCUCUCCUCCUCCUCCUCCUCCCGUCAUCUUUCAG